rnacentral:lncRNA from 1 species
UUCCUUUUUGGUUUGUAUGCUCUUUGUGGACUAGUUCUGCUCUUUUCUAAUCUAUGAAAUUCUUAUAUUGCUUAAAAAAAAUAAGAGAAAAAAAAAACAAUUUUACUGAGCAAUUGAGAUAACCAAACCAAAUCUUUGUCUCAAUCAAUUGGGGUCUGCUACGUAAAUCCUUUUGUGCGUUCGGUAGACUAACAACACACAAAAACUCUGCCAAAUCUCUCAUGAAAUGAAUCCUAUUACAAACAUUAGAUAGUUUUACGUAAAAUACACGUAUUGUUUCCAAAUUAUGUUUAGUGUGAAUAUGGUCUUUUAAGUUCAAUUAUUUUCUAUUUCUUUAUUAAAGUCAUCUAUUUAUGUCAACUUAGUCAAAUUUUAAAAGGGUUUUUAAAUAGUCCCUCAUGUAACAGUUUCAUGUCACUUUGGUUCUCGUAUUUUUAAUUUUUUGUAAAUUCAGUCCCUAAACACUGUAAUACAAUGUGUGGAUGGUUGGAAUCUAUUUGAAGAAUGAAAAUGUAAUUUCAUGAUUCAACUAUCAAGAACAUAUUACAAUAGAGAAGUGUUAAUUACAUACUCAAAAUGUAAUCAGAGUCCCAAACUAGAGCACUGUUCUAAAAAGCGGCCGCCUAGGCGGUGCCUAGGCGCUAGGCGGGAGUGUCCCGCUUCGAUCAGUUUAGGUGUCGCCUAGGCAGCAUCCCUUGAUGUUUAAAGUAAUAUUUCAAAAAAAAUAUUUUCAUUAACUUAACGGAAUUGGAUUGCAUUAGUAAUAACAAGUUUUUUUUCUAGAAUGGAAUCAUUUUAUUUUAAAAAGAAAAAGAAACAACUAGAAAUAAUUCAACAUUGAACAUUUGGCGAAAUAGUUUCUAAUUUCUAUAUAUUUUAAAUACCUAAAU